CAAGGAACUAAGAGUUUAUGGGGAAUACCUUGGCAUUCAGAAGCGAUGAAGGACGUGGUUACCGACGAAACGCUUCGGGGAGCUGGAAACGAGCUAUGAUCCGGAGGUAUCCGAAUGAGGCAACUUGAAAACUACUUAUUGAAUAUAUAAAUAAGAAAGAGUAAACCUAGGGAACUGAAACAUCUUAGUACCUAGAGGAAAAGAAAGUAAAAACGAUUCCCUUAGUAGCGGCGAGCGAAAUGGGAAGAGCCUAAACUUAUAAAUAAGGGUAGUGGGACGAUCAAAAAUGAUUAAAUGUGACAAUUAGAUGAAUAAGUUGGAAUACUUAACCAUAGAAAGUGAUAGUCUUGUAAUCGAAAAUUGAAACAAUCAAGAUUAAAUCCCAAGUAGCAUGGAGCACGUGAAAUUCCGUGUGAAUCUGCGAGGACCACCUCGUAAGGCUAAAUAUUACUGAAUGACCGAUAGUGAAAAAGUACCGUGAGGGAAAGGUGAAAAGAACCCCGGGAGGGGAGUGAAAAGAACAUGAAACCAUAAACUUACAAUCAGUAGGAGGACAACUGAAAUGUCUGACUGCGUGCCUGUUGAAGAAUGAGCCGGCGACUUAUAGUUAGUGGCAGGUUAAAACAUUUCAAUGUUGGAGCCAUAGUGAAAGCGAGCCUGAAUAGGGCGUUAGUCUCUAAUUAUAGACCCGAACCCGGAUGAUCUAACCAUGGUCAGGUUGAAGCUUAGGUAAUACUAAGUGGAGGACCGAACCGACUGAUGUUGAAAAAUCAGCGGAUGAAUUGUGGUUAGGGGUGAAAUGCCAAUCGAAUUCGGAGCUAGCUGGUUCUCCCCGAAAUGCGUUUUGGCGCAGCGAUAAAUGUUAUAAUUUAGGGGUAAAGCACUGUUACGUAUGAGGGCUGGUAAUUCGGUACCAAAUCGUUGCAAACUAAGAAUACUAAAUGUACAAUUUAUCAGUGAGACUGUGGGGGAUAAGCUUCAUUGUCAAGAGGGAAACAGCCCAGAGCACCAGUUAAGGCCCUUAAAUAAUUACUAAGUGAUAAAGGAAGUGGGAGUGCAGAAACAAUCAGGAGGUUUGCUUAGAAGCAGCAAUCCUUUAAAGAGUGCGUAAUAGCUCACUGAUCGAGUAAACCUGCGCCGAAAAUGUACGGGACUAAGUAAUUUGCCGAAACUGUGCGAUAUAUUUGAAUAUAUCGGUAGGGGAGCGUUCUGUUGUAGGUUGAAGUAUUAGCGUAAGCGGAUAUGGACGAAGCAGAAGUGAGAAUGUCGGCUUGAGUAGCGAAAAUAUAGGUGAGAAUCCUAUACCCCGAAAACCCAAGGUUUCCUCCGGAAGGCUCGUCCGCGGAGGGUAAGUCAGGACCUAAGGCGAGACUGAAAAGUGUAGUCGAUGGAUAACGGGUUAAUAUUCCUGUACCAUUAUUUAUUGAUAUCGAAGGACGGAGAAGGCUAUUUUGGCCGGAGAUUGGUAUUCCGGUUUAAAUGUUUAGGCGUGUACGGCGAAAACGUACUAUUGAGCUAAGGCAUGAAUACGAGACGCUACGGCGUUGGAGCAAAAGAUGUCAGGCUUCCAAGAAAAGCUCGCACUGUCAUAAAUAAAUAAUGCCUGUACCAUAACCGACACAGGUGGGUAGGUAGAGUAUACUAAGGGGCGCGAGAUAACUCUCUCUAAGGAACUCGGCAAAAUAACUCCGUAACUUCGGGAGAAGGAGUGCCUUAUUUUUAAGGUUGCAAUAACAAGAUCCAAGCAACUGUUUAUCAAAAACACAGGUCUCCGCUAAGUCGUAAGACGAUGUAUGGGGGCUGACGCCUGCCCAGUGCCAGAAGGUUAAAGAAGCUGGUUAGCAAUAGCGAAGCUAGUAACUGAAGCCCUGGUGAACGGCGGCCGUAACUAUAACGGUCCUAAGGUAGCGAAAUUCCUUGUCGGGUAAGUUCCGACCUGCACGAAUGGCGUAACGACUUCCCCGCUGUCUCCAACAUAGACUCAGCGAAAUUGAAUUACCUGUCAAGAUGCAGGUUUCCCGCGGUUAGACGGAAAGACCCCGUGCACCUUUACUACAGCUUCACACUGGCAAUAGGUCAGGCAUGUGCAGGAUAGGUGGUAGGCUUUGAAGCAGGGACGCUAGUCCUUGUGGAGCCACCCUUGAGAUACCACCCUUGCCUCGCUUGUUGUCUAACCGCGGUCCGUUAUCCGGAUCCGGGACCCUGUGUGGCGGGUAGUUUGACUGGGGCGGUCGCCUCCUAAAGCGUAACGGAGGCGCGCGAAGGUUGGCUCAGAGCGGUCGGAAAUCGCUCGUUGAGUGCAAUGGCAGAAGCCAGCCUGACUGCGAGACUGACAAGUCGAGCAGAGUCGAAAGACGGCCAUAGUGAUCCGGUGGUCCCAAGUGGGAGGGCCAUCGCUCAACGGAUAAAAGGUACGCCGGGGAUAACAGGCUGAUGAUGCCCAAGAGUCCAUAUCGACGGCAGUGUUUGGCACCUCGAUGUCGGCUCAUCGCAUCCUGGGGCGGUAGUACGUCCCAAGGGUUGGGCUGUUCGCCCAUAAAAGCGGUACGCGAGCUGGGUUCAGAACGUCGUGAGACAGUUCGGUCCCUAUCUUCCGUGGGUGUAGGAUACUUGAGAGGAGUUGCCCCUAGUACGAGAGGACCGGGGUGAACGAUCCACUGGUGGACCAGUUGUCGUGCCAACGGCAGUGCUGGGUAGCUAUGAUCGGACAGGAUAACCGCUGAAGGCAUCUAAGCGGGAAGCCCCCCUCAAAACAAGGUAUCCCUGAGAGCCGAGGUAGACCACCUCGUCGAUAGGCCAGAGAUGUAAGCGCUGUAAGGCGUUCAG
rnacentral:rRNA from 1 species